AGGCCCUGCUUGCAGGGUACUCGAGUGGCGAACGGGUGAGUAACACGUGGGUGAUCUGCCCUGCACUUCGGGAUAAGCUUGGGAAACUGGGUCUAAUACCGGAUAGGAACCAUCUUUAGUGUGGUGGUUGGAAAGUUUUUUCGGUGUAGGAUGAGCUCGCGGCCUAUCAGCUUGUUGGUGGGGUAAUGGCCUACCAAGGCGGCGACGGGUAGCCGGCCUGAGAGGGUGUACGGCCACAUUGGGACUGAGAUACGGCCCAGACUCCUACGGGAGGCAGCAGUGGGGAAUAUUGCACAAUGGGCGCAAGCCUGAUGCAGCGACGCCGCGUGGGGGAUGAAGGCCUUCGGGUUGUAAACUCCUUUCGCUAGGGACGAAGCUUUUUGGUGACGGUACCUAGAUAAGAAGCACCGGCUAACUACGUGCCAGCAGCCGCGGUAAUACGUAGGGUGCGAGCGUUGUCCGGAAUUACUGGGCGUAAAGGGCUCGUAGGUGGUUUGUCGCGUCGUCUGUGAAAUUCUGGGGCUUAACUCCGGGCGUGCAGGCGAUACGGGCAUAACUUGAGUGCUGUAGGGGUAACUGGAAUUCCUGGUGUAGCGGUGAAAUGCGCAGAUAUCAGGAGGAACACCGAUGGCGAAGGCAGG
rnacentral:rRNA from 1 species